CCUGUGAAGUGAGGCACUUCGGACUCUAAGUUUCCAAAGUUUUGAGGUACACAGACAGUUUUCUUUAUGCAUUUCCCAUCUCAGUUCUUUUCUUAUGGCAAUGAAGCUGUCAUACUGUCAUAGCUAGUGAGACCUCCCUUAAGUGGAGACCCUGUUCCAGAGAAGGAAGCAUGCUUCAUGUACUCAGACACCUGUGCACUCCAGAAUACACUGCUUAGCGUGGUGCCCACACUGAAACCCCAGUAGAGAGAUGUGAGUGGACUUUAGAUCCAGUGCAAAGAGAAGUACAGCUGGAGUUCAGCAACCGAGUGAACCCCAGAAUUGCCAUGCCUUGCCUGAGUCACCCCAGGAUUGUGAUGUCUUGUCCUAGUUAUCAGGAGACUCGGCAGCCUGUGAAGCAGCAGAAUGUAUGGCCCUCCCUUAGUCCACUCCAGCAGAAGAGUCACAAGUGACACAGAGAAGCUAUGCGGUCUUCACCCUCCCCCGCCAGGCACUGUCUUACUCCUCCCAGAGAUUUUCCCAGCUAAGCACUCGGAGGACGCCACAGAGAGGCUAAUCAGUUAAGUCUCUAGAAGGAUUAGGUCCCUUUACCGAUGUGGAUCUGCCACUAUUGAUUUUGGCCUAUCACAAAUCCUGUGUAGCCCAUUUCACUUCAGAGGGAGCCUUGGGUUGACAUUGUUAAGGAUCCUGCAGAUAUCUUCAUCUUCAUUGACUUCCGUUAGUGAGACACAGAGUGAGGACGCUCACACCCAGCCCAGUCCUUCGGUGUCUUUCCAAAGCCGGACAACAGUAUUUUCCCCUUUACAGCAACCUUGAAAAGAGCCACUGAAUCCUCCUAAGCUGGGAAUCUGGAAAACCUCUUCUCGGUUUUACACUAGGUCCUUCGGAACAGCUUUUGACAAGAGAGAAGCAAAGAGAAAGAAGCUAAAAGCCUCAGAAAGGCAUUUAAGUAACACUUCGGGAACGGUCAGAAGCCAGGUGUAGCAGCCCCGCGGUAACCCAGUAUUCAGAGUCAGAGCGGGGAGGAUAAUUAGUCCAGGGCAGUGUGAACUACACAACGAAACCCUGUCACAAAAGAGCAAGGAGGCUGGAGAGAUGGUUCAUCAAUUAAAAACAUUGGCUGCUCUUCCAGAGAACCCAGGUUCAAUUCCCAGCACCCACAUGGUGGCUCAUAAUCAGCUGUAACUCUGUUUUCAGGGGGAUCUGAUGCCCUCUUCUGGCCUCUAAAGGCACAGACAUACGUGCAGGCAAAAACAUCCAUGCAUAUAAAAUAAUGGGGUGGGGGAAAAACAACUUUUGGUGCUUGAAUGAGAUGUCCCCCACAAGUCAUGGGCAUUUGAAUACUUGGUCCCCAGUUAUUGGCUGUUUGGGAGGAUAUGGGGGUGUGGACUCACUGGAGGAAGUACGUCACGGGGCGGGGUGGGCUUUGAGGUUUCAGAAGACUCGUUAUUUCUGGUUGGCUCUCUGCUUUCAAUGUGCAGUUUGAGAUGUGAGCUGUAGCAAUUGCCCCAGCUGCCUACCACCUGCUGCCUCUAUCCACCAUCAUGGACUCUAACCCUCUGGAACUGUCAGGUCCAAAUUAAUUCUUUUUUCUAUAAGCUCCCUUGGUCAUGAUGUCUUAUCACUAGAAGAGAAAAGUAGCUAACAUCAACUCAAAACUGUAUACAUGGAACGUGACUACUUGCUACCUGAGAUUCUGUCAUGGCCACCUGCUGGAGAGCCAAACAUGUCCUCCUCACCCUAACCACUAACUCAGAGCUUGUCCCAGUAUGUACAGCUGGCCCAGUGCCUUCUCUGGAUCGUCCCUUUCUGUGGAAGCAUGUGGGGAGGCACCCACUGGUUGACGAGUCAGCCUAUGCAGUGGUCCCAUGCAGGAGAUGUUGCUCCUUUGAAGACACCCAGACUCUGCUUUCAUGGGUCACAGUCACAUCCUGGCCACUGGAUGCCACCCUACUAUUCUGCUUCUAUCCUAAUGCCACGUGUCACAUCUGAGCACAGACGGAGGAGAAAUGGUUGCUCUCAGCCACCAGUGUCCAUCAUCCCUUUCGGUGGGACUCUGUCCUCCCCAUCAGCAACAGCAGUACAGUUUGAGGGGCUGUGUCCCUUCCCCGAGCUGGGGCCCUUUACCGGGCACAUUCAUCUCUGCCAUUACCAGUGUGAAAGUUGACUGAACUGAAAGAGAUUUUGUAGCCUAUUAAGGAAACAGAUCCCCAGAGAGGCCCCAAUUCCACUAAUUCACUGGAAAAGAAAUGAGUGUAGAUUUGGACAGUUGGAUCAUCUUUAAGUUGGGGAAGAUGAGAUGGGUGGGACACCCUCAUAGCAGGGUACACCAAAUGGCCCUCAGUCUACCUGGAAGGUGGGGCCCCUUGCAGAGAACACAGGGAUCUUAGGCGCCCACAUGCUGGUCAGUGUUAUGUGCAUGCCAGGUCUCUGGAUGACAGGAGACACAUUGGCUGUACCACUGUGCUUCUAGGGGGUGCUGUGUGCCUCUUGGUGACAGAAAAGACUACACAUCCUUGGGGGCUGGGAAAUAUUACAAAGGCCUAGACACCCUCUGAGUACAAGCACCUCUGAUCAGAAUGCACAGUCACACUAAACCAUCAUUCCCGACCCUCGUGCACACAAACUCUGCUUCCUGCUGUCCUCUGUGUAUAGCCUUCAGUCAGGGGUGAUGUCAGCCCUGGUGAAAGCAAAUAUAAUUAUGCAGAUGGUCCACAUAGGGAUACGUUGAUUAAAACUCUGGCUAAGGUCUCAGUGAACUAAACCUCCCCAAUAGGAAGGGUGAGGCUAACUGUUAGCACUUAGAAAAACUAACUAAAUACCACUUAUUUGUGAAUUACCACCACCAAAGGUCUGUAAUUAUUAUUAUUACCUUUAAGGAUGGAAAUAAAUCCUUUGAAUGCAAGGUAAA